UGUCACCUCAAAGGUGACAAUCAGCUGCCUCCUGGGAUAACUUAGCAAAGCUCUCCAAAGACCAUGGAACCCGCUUCCCUUUGCUUUCCCCAAAGGGAAAACAACUGCCUUCAAGGUUGUACCGAGAAAAUAAAGCAGGCGGCCCAGUGACGGAUUCGAGAAGUUGGCGUUUUCCCGAAGAUUAAAAGAUAAUAACACUUCUAUUAGGAUCACUCGGCCACGCUGUAUUGAUCUCAUCAGGGAAGCCACCGCAGGUCUCAUAUGAGCAGAGCAAGUCCUGGAAUUAAUCACCGGGGUUUUAUUAUGGUUCAUAGGGUGUCUCAUUCAAGCCACAUCGUUUGCAAUAUUUAUUAUCCUGCUCCCUGGUCAUCGUUAAGAGCAAGUGGGGCUGGUGGAGCUGAGCCUGCUGGGAUAGAAAAAGGAGCCAUUCUUCAAAGAUCUGUAGAAGGGGAACAACAACCUACCCCUGAAGGCUGCAGAAGGCAAGCAUAAAUCAACAUUUGCUGUACACAAAACUGGGCUCAAAUAGUCUCUCAGAAAGAACUGCUGCUCUUCUCCUUGGAGAUCCUCCUUGACCAACCCAAGAAAAAUGCCUAAGAGAAAUGGGCUGACUGAAAUCUCAAGCCAAAGAUGGACAAGAGUGGGGUUUAUGACCGGUGAAAGCCUGGGUUCUUUCAUUUCUGCUGGAGUCCCUUGUGCAGCCGCUGUUGAACUUCACGGACCAUACUACGUAAGCCAACCUAAUGAACCACCUUUGUAAUAUAUAUCUGUCCUGCUGGUUCAA